rnacentral:rRNA from 2 species
UACGGGGGGGGCAAGCGUUGUUCGGAAUUACUGGGCGUAAAGGGUUCGUAGGUGGCCAACUAAGUCAGACGUGAAAUCCCUCAGCUUAACUGGGGAACUGCGUCUGAGACUGGAUGGCUUGAGUGCAGGAGAGGAACGCGGAAUUCCAGGUGUAGCGGUGAAAUGCGUAGAUAUCUGGAGGAACACCGGUGGCGAAGGCGGCGUUCUGGACUGCUACUGACACUGAGGAACGAAAGCCAGGGGAGCAAACGGG